UACGUAGGAGGCAAGCGUUGUCCGGAAUUACUGGGCGUAAAGCGUGCGCAGGCGGUCCGUUAAGACAGAUGUGAAAUCCCCGGGCUUAACCUGGGAACUGCAUUUGUGACUGGCGGACUCGAGUAUGGCAGAGGGGGGUAGAAUUCCACGUGUAGCAGUGAAAUGCGUAGAGAUGUGGAGGAAUACCGAUGGCGAAGGCAGCCCCCUGGGCCAAUACUGACGCUCAUGCACGAAAGCGUGGGGAGCAAACAGG
rnacentral:rRNA from 1 species